CCAGACUCCUACGGGAGGCAGCAGUAGGGAAUCUUCGGCAAUGGACGGAAGUCUGACCGAGCAACGCCGCGUGAGUGAAGAAGGUUUUCGGAUCGUAAAGCUCUGUUGUAAGAGAAGAACGAGUGUGAGAGUGGAAAGUUCACACUGUGACGGUAUCUUACCAGAAAGGGACGGCUAACUACGUGCCAGCAGCCGCGGUAAUACGUAGGUCCCGAGCGUUGUCCGGAUUUAUUGGGCGUAAAGCGAGCGCAGGCGGUUAGAUAAGUCUGAAGUUAAAGGCUGUGGCUUAACCAUAGUACGCUUUGGAAACUGUUUAACUUGAGUGCAAGAGGGGAGAGUGGAAUUCCAUGUGUAGCGGUGAAAUGCGUAGAUAUAUGGAGGAACACCGGUGGCGAAAGCGGCUCUCUGGCUUGUAACUGACGCUGAGGCUCGAAAGCGUGGGGAGCAAACAGGAUUAGAUACCCUGGUAGUCCACGCCGUAAACGAUGAGUGCUAGGUGUUAGACCC
rnacentral:rRNA from 1 species